GCGGAUGGCUGGAUGACCGCGGGCCGGGCAACCGAUCCGAGGAAAGUCCGGACUCCAUGAAGUAAGGGUGCCGGGUAACGCCCGGCGGGGGAAACCCCAGGGAAAGCGCCACAGAGAAGAGUCUGCCUUGAUGACGCAAAGAAGGUUCGCCUUCGGCGCGGGCAAGGCGAUGGUGAAAAGGUGGGGUAAGAGCCCACCGCGGACCUGGCAACAGGGACGGCACGGCAAGCCCCACCCGGAGCAAUGCCGAAUAGGGGCCUCGCGCGGAAAGGUCCGGGGAACAGUCGCAAGACUGCCGGAGACCUCCGUAGGGACACUUCAGCCCGAGAUGGCCCGGGUUGGCAGCUUGACCGGCGCGGUAACGCGUCUGGCAGAGGAAUGGUCAUCCAAGAGGCGGGUUCGCAAGAAUUUGGCUCUGGACAGAAUCCGGCUUAUAGGCCAUCCGCGCAU
rnacentral:RNase_P_RNA from 1 species